rnacentral:tRNA from 1 species
GCCGAUGUGGUGGAAUGGCAGACACGAUCGCCUCAAAAGCGAUUGCUCGCGAGGGCAUGUGGGUUCGACUCCCACCAUCGGCA